rnacentral:rRNA from 1 species
UUAGUGGCGGACUGGUGAGUAACGCGUGAGGAACCUGCCUUUCAGAGGGGGACAACAGUUGGAAACGACUGCUAAUACCGCAUGACGCAUUUUGAUCGCAUGGUCGAAAUGCCAAAGAUUUAUCGCUGAAAGAUGGCCUCGCGUCUGAUUAGCUAGUUGGUGAGGUAACGGCCCACCAAGGCGACGAUCAGUAGCCGGACUGAGAGGUUGACCGGCCACAUUGGGACUGAGAUACGGCCCAGACUCCUACGGGAGGCAGCAGUGGGGAAUAUUGGGCAAUGGGCGCAAGCCUGACCCAGCAACGCCGCGUGAAGGAAGAAGGCUUUCGGGUUGUAAACUUCUUUUAAGUGGGAAGAGUAGAAGACGGUACCACUUGAAUAAGCCACGGCUAACUACGUGCCAGCAGCCGCGGUAAUACGUAGGUGGCAAGCGUUGUCCGGAUUUACUGGGUGUAAAGGGCGUGCAGCCGGGCAUGCAAGUCAGAUGUGAAAUCUCAGGGCUUAACCCUGAAACUGCAUUUGAAACUGUAUGUCUUGAGUGCCGGAGAGGUAAUCGGAAUUCCUUGUGUAGCGGUGAAAUGCGUAGAUAUAAGGAAGAACACCAGUGGCGAAGGCGGAUUACUGGACGGUAACUGACGGUGAGGCGCGAAAGCGUGGGGAGCGAACAGGAUUAGAUACCCUGGUAGUCCACGCUGUAAACGAUGGAUACUAGGUGUGCGGGGACUGACCCCC